AAAUUGAGAAAGCUAAGAUGGUCGACGGCGGCAAUCUCAAAAUUUGAAAGGAGAUUGAAACUAGAGCUGUGUUAUGUAACAUGAUAUCUCUUCAAGUCUUUUAGAUUCCUCUUUUCUGAGCAAAGAUGAGUUUAAAUAUCUCCCACCCUGUCUCCCUUUAGUAUUCGCCUGAAAAGUAGAAGUCUGGGUCAUCCCUGCCGCGCCGAAGAAGUACAUCACAUUUUUUUUUGCUCAGAUCAACAAGUGAGAGGAGUGCAACCGAAAUUUUUCAGGCUAGCUGCAUUUCCGAAGGUUGUGGAUGACUUCGACUGCACCUACAUACAGAUCCAUGGUGUUUGCCUUGGGGCAGCCUAACGGUCUAUAUAAAGCUGUAAAAGUUUUUUCAACAUUGACGUACAGUUGACAUGUGAUGCAGACUUUAUCAUCACUAUUGUUGCAGCCGGGGAGUACUCAUGAUAGCAGGAUUUUUACGGUAAGAAUUAAUAAAAUUUGUAUGCAUUAUCUUUUACAGAACAACAUGGUUGGACUUGGAGUUGAAGCUGGUGUGUUAAAUGGAAUACUACUUGGAGACUCAGAGUACGCUCUCCAACAACACCUUGUGACGCCUGUGCCCCUGCCUGCCCCAAGAACUGAGUGGAGAUAUAUCCAGUAUGUGUCAUGCAAUUCCAUGUAGAGAUACAGGAAUGCAAUGUACAGUGUGUACAUGUAUUUAGAGCCAUCAACAAUACUGGAUCCUGCUUGUCACCUCGGCUGUGAGGAAUUCAAUCAUCAGGUUUCGACACUGGAUUGAUGAGAAGCAGAUUUCAUUGGAUCAGACUGGUGCAGGAGUUCAACAAGCUGGAGGGGAAUAUACAGCUGCAUCUAUUCCUGGUGAAGACCAAGAAGUUCCUUCAUCAGAUGAUCAGGUGGCCCGUUUCAUGAAGACUAACAACUAUAUUUUUUAAUUUUGUCAUUAUUGUAACUACCAUGGAAACCUUUAUUAUGAUUGGCUGCUAUAAGCCCCAUUACCAUGGUAGUUGCCAUCAUGACAAAGUUACAAAAGUUGCAACUCUUCAUGAAAUGGGCCACUGGACUAUCAACAUCGGAGAGGAAGGUUACAAAGCCAUCUGGACGGUUGCUGAUGUGUCCUCUGCCUGGGAGAUCGUUGACAACUUGCCAUCGAUCCGGAUCAACCAAGCGAAUAACCCUGAUGUGGUCAGUGUAUCACAGUAUUACUCCACGGAGUUGGCCUAUGUACAAAAGCAUAGUGUUGGUACCUGUGGACUAAUCGAGCUUGACCGUCUGCUUCAUAAUUGUCAAAGAGUGAAAAUACUUCAUCACUAGUACUGAGAAGGGUGUCUUGAGGGACAAGGCUUGACUGGAGAUGUUUGGUGUUCAGAUGAAUUCACUCAAUCCAGUGAAAGGAAUCAUCGCAGUUAUAAGAAGGGAGAGAAUGCUAGAUGAGGGAUAAAUGGAUUCUGACCUUUUGAGUUAUCUUGCCAAAGAUAAAGGAUCUAUCAACCUUGCAACAGAGGCUUAGGAGUGCAACACAGGUUAAAGAGACUGUGAAGGCUGUGAAAGCACUAGUUGAAUCAUAAUUCUUGUGACUCAUGGAUGCACCCCCUAUCUGAUGUUAAUCAUCUUCCAAGCGUGGAUAAGAGAGAUAGUCUACCAGAGAUAAGGACACGAUACAAUCACCCUCUACAUGGAAUGUCAGUGUUUUUGUUUAUAUAAGGGCUCUGUAUCACAAAUGUUUGCAAUCAGUUGCAUAUUGCAAUGUCCAAUCAAGAUCGUUGUUGCAUGCACCAGGAACCAAUCAGAAUGGUUGUUUUAUAUGUGCGUUCCAUAUCAAACAUUUGUGUUAAAGGGCUCAGAUGUGUAGAGGAGCAAACACCAUUUUCUACUAAUUUUUAAAUGGAUUUUAUAGUGAUUUUUAUGUAACUCAGUAGAGCAGGUCCAAGCUAUCAUCACUUUGCUAUCAGUUCACGGUAUCUUAAUUAUGAACUCUAAAAGGCAUACUUGCUAGGAGUCAAGACAUUAAUUUGUACAUAAGUUUGGAAAUGAGUUGCAAAUAUUCCAGAGAUUUUUUUUUUUUUUGGGGGGGGGGUGCUACUUUUUAGCUCACCAGCUGAAGUUUGAUUGUACUACAGUUUACAUUAAAUCCUAAGGGAAUAUCCAGAGCUCUUUUUUAGUUUUCAUUGGCUCUUUUGGGGGUGAACUCGCCUUGAAUAUUGUGAGACUUAAGCCUAAUGAGAUUGGGGUAUUGGGAUAUUGGCAAGACUGCUCCUCCCCACAAGAUGUUUGCACGUGAUUGUGACAAAAAUCGACAUGCAUGUCACCCAUGAUGUACUCAAGAAAGUUGUACAUUUGAUUGUUUUGAAAUGCUGAAAAUUAAUUUUUACAUAAUUGAUUAUGCUAAUUUAUCCAUGGAAUUAGAAUUUAACUGUAAAUCUAUUAAUGAAGCCCUUGAAAUGCUAUUUUUGCGUUGCGCAGACUUUUCACAUUAUGGAUUUAUUGCACAAAUUUCAAGGGAGGAGGGGGGCUUUAGGCCUGCCCCUCCCCAACUCUUAUUAGGGUUAAGCUUUGUGAAGUUUACUUUUCAACUUUAUCUUGAUAUUUUUAUUUCUGUUUAUUUGUUUCGAUUAUUCUGCAAAAGUGGAUCCAAAGGUUUUCCAGAGUUUUCGCCUAUUGAGUUUUAUCUCUGGUUUUUUACCCUGGGUCUACUUGUCGUAGAAUUGUUAAAGGGGAAUUCAACCUUGGUCAUAAAGUGACGUGUGAGAGAAAAAUUAGAUAAUGAGAAUGGUGAAAGAUUGAAAGAAAUCAGACAAGCCUUACCGAAGUUACGACUGUUUUAAGAAGAAAAUUUGAAUUUGAAAUUUGCAUUUAUAUUGCAAUUUGGUGACAGUUUGAAGUCUUCAUAUCUAUAGUUAUUACAACUAUUUACAACAUUUAGAAAUUCAUAACUUUCUUAUUGUUUAUUUGAUAUUCAAACUUUCACCUUCAUCUCCAUGUCUGAUUUUUCCUUUUCCUCUAAACACAACAUUUUAAUUUGGGUUGGAUUCUCCUUUGACACAAACAUCACCCCCCCCUGAAUAUAUCUAUAUACCGGUACAUAUUUUUCCAUUAAUAUUUUUAUUUUCUGUCCAAUUUUCAAGAAAUUUUAUCAUAUGAACAUUUUUAUUUUUAGUAGCUAAAGUAGAAAUAGUGUUGUGUUAAGUUUUAACAUAUUUGUGUAGGCGUAUAAGCAACAAACAAAUUCAUUAUUAGCUAUUCAAAUUCUGUAUGUGGCAAAAUUAUAUUAGUAACAUAUACAAGUAGAAUUAAUUUUGAUAUUUUAGAGGAAUUGAUAAUGUCAGUAAUGUAAAUCAAAAACAACAAAAGCCUGAAUACAGGACACUGCAUGUUAUAGGCAUAAUAUCAGAUUUAACAUCCAUAAAAAGGAGUAAACUGUUUGUGAUCAAAAGCUUAUUUUCAAACCAGUCAUAUGAACACUCCUAACUAUGGUUUCUAAGCUUGUCUAGUAUACACAUGUGGACUGUGGUCAGGUAAAUCAAAAACUUAGCUUAGGUCAACCAAAUUAACCAGAGGAUUUUGUACCUCUUUCUUUUUCUUUUCUUUUUUAAGGAAUUUGUCAUGAAUACUUCAUCAAUUAUAAAUGGCCUAAAACAUAUUUCAAUAUAUACUGUAUUAAGCAAACCUAUGUAUAGAUUUUAGUUUACAACACAAAUUUGAUUGAAUUUCUACAUCAAAUCCAAUUU